GUCUACGGCCUCCCCACCCUGAAAGCGCCUGAUCUCAUCUGAUCUCAGAAGCUAAGCAGAGUCAGGUCUGGUUAAUUCUUAGAUAGGAGACCGCAAAAAAAAAAAAAAAAAAAGAGACUGCAUACA
ensembl:rRNA 5S_rRNA 5S ribosomal RNA